GAGGGUACAGCUCAAGUGGCAGAGCUCGUGCUUAGCAUGCAUAAGGUUCUGGGUUCAAUCCCCAGUGCCUCCU
rnacentral:tRNA from 1 species